UGUUAAGAAUUUCAUCCAUUUUUAUUAAUAAAAACUGGUAUAACAGAAAAUAACAAGAUAGUUACACACGAAGUAUCACGUAUACCUCAUGUUGAUAUCCAAGGACCAAUUUUUAACAAUAGAAAUGGAUAGAAUUUUUAACA
rfam:Gossypium hirsutum cultivar TM-1 chromosome 22, whole genome shotgun sequence